AUUUCCUGGGAAGGACUUUUGACGCUGGCGGAGUACUGGCUUCAGGCAGUAUAAAUUGCUGCAGUUACACGUUAGAUACUUAGUGGAGGAGAAAUGCCGAAAACGCGUUCAGAACUGCAUGUUCAAAAACAGAGUUGGUGGAAAAGCUCAGGUAUUAAUUGAGAAUAAUUUGCAGACCAGGAUCCAUGCAAGUUCUCCAUUAAGCAGAGUGAUCAGGAUCUGAGUAUCAUUGACACUUAAAUGCGAAAGGGAAGAGGUUUAACCAUUCUAUCCAUGGGAGAAUAUUCCUGGCAAACGCUGACUGUUUUCCUUCCCUGAAGGACAUUAAAUGAACCGGUUCAGUUUUACUGAUAAUCCAGCAGUGCCCCUCGGUGUUGGAUCCACAAUUGACCAGAUUAAUUUCAGAGUUUCACAAUCUUUGUGUGUAUUCUUCUGGUUUCUCUCUCUCUACUUUUCUGUUUGAAAUUUUGAUUGCAUUCAGAGAAAUCAAACAAAACCACAUCCAGAUCUGACACUCAAUCUGUUUGUCAUAACCUAAUUAUCUCAGGAUUUUGAACAUUGAAGGAAGAAGCACUGUUCACCAGGGAGAAAUGCGUAUUGUCUGUGUGCCGAAGAGUCUGUGAAGAUUCAUCUGAAAUGUCCAAACACCAGCGCAGUCACACUGGGGAGAGACUGUGGAAAUGUGGGGAUUGUGGGAAAGGAUUUAUUUACCCAUCCCAGCUGGAAAUGCACCAACGCAGUCACACUGGGGAGAAACCGUUCAUUUGCUCUGAUUGUGGGCUGGGAUUCACUCAGUCAAACAACCUGCUGAAACACCAACAAGUUCACAGUGGGGAGAGACCGUUUGCCUGCUCUGUGUGUGGGAAAGGAUUUGCGCAGACAUCUCACCUGCUGAAACACCAGCAAAUUCACACAGGAGAGAGGCCAUUCACUUGCUCUGUAUGUGGGAAAGAAUUUGCUUUGUCAUCCAGCCUGUUGACACAUCAGCGAAUUCACAAUGGGGACAGACUGUUCACCUGCUUUAUUUGUGGGAAAGGAUUCGUUUCGUCAACCAACCUGCUGAGACACCAGCAAGUUCACACCAGAGAGAAAUCAUUCACCUGUUCUGUGUGUGGGAAAGGAUUCACUCAGUCAUCCUCUCUGCUGGAACACCAGCAAGUUCACACUGGGAAAAGACCAUUCAUCUGUUCUGAAUGUGGGAAAGGAUUCACUCGCAAUUCCAAACUAUUGGUACAUCAGCGAGUUCACACUGGAGAGAAACCUUUCACCUGUUCUGAGUGUGGGAAGGGAUUUACUCACUCAUCCAACCUGCUGACACAUCAGCGACUUCAUACUGGAGAGAGACCAUUCAGCUGUUCGGAGUGUGGAAAAGCAUUCACUCAGACAGUUCACCUGCUGACACAUCAGUGAAUUCACACUGGAGAGAAACCGUUCACAUGUUCCGAAUGUGGGAAGGGAUUUGCUCACUCAACCAACCUGCUGAGACACCAGCGAGUUCACUCUGGGGCCAGACCAUUCACUUGUUCUAUGUGUGGAAAGGGAUUCACUCAAUCAUGCAAACUGUUAACACACCAGCAAGUUCACCACAACCACAUUUGAAGGAUUUUGCUUUUAAAUCAAGGAUUGAACUUGGAUCUUUGGGCUGUUUGUACUGGUGUCAUUAGUCCCUGCUCAAAACUUGAUCUUCUCUUGGGAAAUAAGGUAGGGCAGGUGACUGAGAGGUCAGUGGGAGAAAUAUUUUGGGGCCUAUGAUCAUUGUUGUAUUAGUUUUAAAAUAGUUAUGGAGAAGGAUAGACUUGGUCUAAAAGUUAAAGUUUUCAAUGGGACUAAGGCCAAUUUUGACACUAUUAUGCCCCUUAAAAGCACAGUAAGACCGCCUAUGUAUGGGAAUGCACAAGAUGGAUGACAUGCAAAACAAGUAUUUUACAUCGGUAUUUACUGUGGAAAAGAAUAUGAAAGCUAGAGAACUUAGAAAUGAAUGUGUAUCUUGAAAAGUUCCAUAUUAUAGAGGAGGUGGUGCUGGAUGCCUUACAGAGCAUAAAGGUGGAUAAAUCCCCAGGACUUCUUCAGGUGUAUUCUCCAACUUUGCGGGAAGUUAGGCUUGCGAUUGGGCCCCUUGCUCAGAUAUUUGCACCAUUGACAGUCAUAGGUGAGCUGUUAGGCUGGAGGUUGGCUAUUCCAGUGCCAUUGUUUAAGAAAGGUGGUAACAUAAAGCCAGGGAACAAUAAACUUUUGGUGAGCCUGAUGUCAGUUAUGUGUAAGUUGUUGGAGGGAAGUCUGAGGGAUAGGAUUUACAUGUAUUUGGAAAGCGUGGACUGAAUGGGGAUAGUCAACAUGUCUUUGUCCAUAGGAAAUUAUGUCUUGAUUGAGUUUUUUUUGAAGAAGUUACAAAGAAAAUUGAUGGCAGACUGGUGGAUGUUUUCGAUAUGGAUUUCAGUAAGUAAAAUUCCGCAUGGUAGCCUGAUUAACAAGGUGAGAUCACAUGGAAUCCAGGGAGAGCUGGCCAUUUGGAAAGGCCUUUGGCCUGCAGUAUGCUGCAAGGAUUGGUACUUAGUAACUAUAACUCCUGCAUUCACAUCCAAAUCAUCUUUAUAAAUGACAGAAAUGAGUGGACCCAGCUCUGAUCCUUGCAGCACACCACUGGUCACACACCUCCAAUCUACAAAGCAACCCUCCACCAGCACUCUGUCUUCUACCUUCAAGUCAGAUCUGUUUCCAAAUGACUGGUUCUCUCUGUAUUCCAUGUGAUCUGACCUUGCUAAUCAGUCUACCAUGAGGAACCUUGUCAACUGCCUUACUGACAUCCAUAUAGAACACAUCCACUGCUUUGCCCUAAUCAAUCCUCUUUGUUCCUUCUUCAAAAAAAAUCAAGUUAGUGAGACAUGAUUUCCUACACACACAGCCAUGUUGCCUGUCCCGAAUCAGUCCUUCCCUUUCCAAAUAUUUCAAGUACUAUCCCUCAGGAUUCCCUCCAAUGACUUGCCCACCACUAAUAUCAGGCUCACUGGCCUAUAGUUUCCUGGCUUUUCCUUAGCACCUUUCUUAAAUAGUGGCAUCACAUUAGCCAACUUCUGAUCCCUCAUCUGUGGCUAUCGAUGAUACAAAUAUCUCAGCAAGGGGCCCAACAAUCUCUUGCCUAGUUUCCCUCCGAGUUCUCGGAUACACCUGAUCAGGUCCCAGGAAUUUAUCCACUUUUAUGCGUUUUAAGCCGUUCAGCAUCACUACCUCUGAAAUAUGGCUAAUUUUCAAGAUGUUGCUCUUUAUUUCCCCACUGUCUAUAUCUUCCAUAUCCUUUUCUGUAGUAAAUACUGAUGCAUAAUACUUGUUUUAUUAUAUUCCCCAUUUCUUGCAAUUCCACACAAAGGCGGCAUUGCUGCUUUUUAAGGGGCCCUAUUCUCUCCCUAGUUAUCCUUUUGUUCUUAAUCUAUUUGUAGAAUCCCUCUGGAUUUUCCUUAAUACUAUUUGCCGAAGCUACCUCAUGUCCCCUUUUUGCCCUCCUAAUUUCCCUCUUAAGUAUACCAUUGUCAUUAUACUCUUAUAAGGAUUCACUCAAUCUCUGCUGUCUAUACCUGGCAUGCCCUUCCUUCCUUUUUCUUGACCAAAACCUUGAUUUCUCUAGUCAUCCAGAAUUCCCUACACCGACCAGCAUUGUCCGUCACCCGAACAGGAACAUACUGUCCCUGAACACUCAUUAUCUUUUUUUUUGAAGGCUUCCCACUUCUGAACCUUUCCGUUUUACCUGCAAAUAUCUGCCCCAAUCAACUUUUGAAAGCUCUUGCGUACUACCAUUAAAAUUGGCCUUCCUCCAAUAUAGAACUUUAACUUUCAGACCCGGUCUACUCUUUUCCAUCACUAUUUUAAAACUAAUAGUAUUAUGGUCACUGGCCCCAAAGUCCUCCCCCACUGAUACCCUAGUCACCUGUCCUGCUUUAUUUGCCAAGAGCAGGUCAAGUUUUGCUCUUUCUCGAGUCGAUACAUCGCAUACUGAAUCAGAACAUUUUCCUGUACACUCUCAGCAAAUUCCUCUCCAUUCAAGCCUUUUACACUAUGGAAUUCCCAAUCUGUUUGGAAAACUAAAAUCCAUUCCAUAACCACCCUGUUAUUCUUACAGAUAACUGAGAUCUUCUUUCAAAAUUGUUUGUCAGAUUCCUGCUGACUAUUGGGAGGCAUAUAGUAUAAUCCCAAUAAAGUGAUCGUCCCUUUUCUUAUUUCUAAGUUCCACCCAAAUAACUUCCCUGGAUGUGUUCUCAGCUAUAUCCUGCCUAAGUAAAGCCAUAAUGUUAUCCUUGCUCAAAAAUGCCGCUUUUCACUCCUGUCAUGCUUUGCUUCCCCUCCCGCUUUGACUUUCUAUCGGAUCUAUAUCUUGGAACAUUAAUCUGGCAGCCCUGUCCAUCCUUGAGCCUUGUCUCUGUAAUUGCAAUGAUAACCCAGUUCCAUGUUUCCAACCUUGCCCUGAGUUCAUCUGCCUUAGCUGUUAGGCCUCUGGCAUUGAAAUAAAUGGUGUUUAAUUUAUUCGUCCUUUUGCAUUAAUCUCAAUAACAAAUACGUAACGGUAGGGUAGGUUUUGAAAAUGAUGACGUUUUAUUGCUGUAUAUCAACACAUUCACAGUGGGUAAAGACAAUCCACCUGCACACUGUGAAAAAGGAUUUCCUAGUUCAUUAGGACUGGUUUUCAUAGAAUUCAGAGUAUUCCGACAGUAUGGAAACAGGCUGUUUGGCCCAAGAAUUCACAGAAAACCUCACAGCAUGCCACUCAGACACAUGUCCUGGUAACCCACCUAAUCUACACAUCCCUGAACACUCUGGGCAAUUUAGCUUGGCGAAUCCACCUAACCAACACAUGGGAGGAAACCAGAACACCCAGAGGAAACCCACGCAGCCACAGGGAGAACAUGCCAACAGCCACACACUCAGUUGCCCAAGGGUGGAAUCAAGUCUGGGUCCCUGGCAUUGUGAGCCAGCAGUGCUAACCGCUGAGCCACUGUGGAUAACCACCAAUGAGUUCCCAAGAAUCUGUAGGAAUUUUUUUUGUUGCUCCUAUUAUCUGUGUCCACGUCAUGUUAUCUGGGCAUGUUUCUCAUGAUGUUUGAAAACACCACGUGUUUGGUUACCUAGUUGGGAGAAAAAAAACGAUAUAAGUUAACCUUUUAUUAAAACUACUGUGCAUUGAGUCUUCAUCUCAAAAGCAGACUAGUUUAUUUUGAAAGGCUGUCCAUCUGCCCUAACUCCUCCAUCCUCACCUCCAAGUGUGAGUAACCUAGGUUUUUACUUUUCACUCAAUGACAGUCAGUACAGUUCAUAUGAGCAAUUGGGAACAGGGUCAUCCCAUAAUGCUUGAAACUUAGUGUACUAAUGGUACACUAUUACAAUAAUAACCAUUACACUUCUUUUCUGAAUCUUUUCAAGUUUUACAACACCCUUCCUUUAGCAGGAAGACUAGAAUUACACACAGCAGUUACACCUCAACUGGAAUGGGACCUGCAUCCUUGUGGGAGGUGGGGGUGGGUUUCCAGUACUGUUGAGGGCCUUGUAAAUAACUCAGCAGUGGGCUGAAAUCCAGAGAGAAUGUUCAAAAUAAUAACAAGGGCCAAAAAGAGAAGAAACGAGAGUCUGGAAGGCAUUGUCACAGGCCAGGUUAAGGUAUAAGGGAGUUUAAGGGUGAAUGGUAUUUAAUGCUUGGAGUCAGGUGAAUAAGGCGGAUGAUUUGAGGAUACAAAUUAAUGGGGUCAUAAAGACAUUGCUGUCACUUGGACACGGUUAGCAGCUCAGUAUUCCAGGAUAUAGGGCCUUCAUGCAAGGCAGUGGAGUUGGUAAAGGAGGAGGAGAUAUUGUUAUUUUGUUUAGGAAAUCUAUUACAGCAAUAAGGAGGGGCGGCGUCUUUGAAAACUCCACAAAUAAAUAAGGAGGCAAAUUUUGAGAAAGUGUAAAAAUAGCAGGAUUGAGGUAGCAGGAGCUUUCAACUUCCUCAACAUUAAUGUAGGCAUCGUCGUGUGAAGGAUUUAUCAGAAUUUUAAAAAUACAUCCAGGGCAGCAUUUUUUUCAGCCACUAAGUAGAAGAUGCAACAAGGAAGGGGAAGGUCCUGGACUUGACUUUCGGUUACAAAGUUGAGCAAGUGGUUGAAGUUUCAGUGGGAUGGCAUUUUGCAGGCAGUUAUUAUAACUUUUCGAUUCAGGAUUUGUAUGGAAAAGGGCAAGGAUGGGUCUGAAGUCCCAAACUGCUGAAGUUAUGAAGAAAGUAAAUGGAAUUUUGGCCUUAAUUGCGAGGUGUUGGUGUUUGAGGAUAAGGACAUCUUGUAACAACUGUAUUGGAUGUUGGUGAAGCCAUACUGGUAUAUUAUUUACAGUUUUGGUGCUUGUAUUUAAGAAAGGAUAUACUGGUGUUGAAUGCAGUACAAAGAGAUUCGCUAAGCUGAUUCAUGGGAUGAAAGGGUUAGCCUGUCAAGAAUAGCUGGAGGAAGGGAAUUUGCAGAGGGGAAAUACCAAGUAAUUAAACAGGUCGUGCUCAAAGUUGGGCUCAUAUUCACAACCCUGCACUUCAACAGCGUAUGUUCUAACAACUGAGCUAACUUGGCCUCCCACAGUCAGUGUUCAAAUCUUGCUUUAUAAGGCGACGAAUGGGUUUUUUCACUGACGCCACUGCAGUCCAAGGAAGUAAAAGGUAUUUGCUUUAGAAAAUCCCAAGGUUCCAAUGUAUUCUUCUCAUUCACAUUGCAACCCAUUUUCGGUACUUGCUCCAGGAUUUAACAUUCAAAAUUAAUUUAGUGAUGUUGUUUCCCUCAUCUUUAAGCAGCCUGUAUGACUCCAGUCACUCGGUUAAAUGGUGAAUAAAUCUGUCUCAAUAAACCAAUUCUUUUCAGCUACA